GGAAAUAUAUAUUUCUUAGCGGCGGACGGGUGAGUAACGCGUGAGGAACCUGCCUUGUACUAGGGGAUAGCCUCGGGAAACCGGGAUUAAUACCCUAUGAUACUUGAGGAUCGCAUGAUUUUCAAGUCAAAGCGAUUAAGCGGUAUAAGAUGGACUCGCGUCCCAUUAGCUAGUUGGUGAGGUAAUAGCUCACCAAGGCGACGAUGGGUAGCCGGCCUGAGAGGGUGAACGGCCACACUGGAACUGAGACACGGUCCAGACUCCUACGGGAGGCAGCAGUGGGGAAUAUUGCACAAUGGAGGGAACUCUGAUGCAGCGACGCCGCGUGAGCGAUGAAGGUUUUCGGAUCGUAAAGCUCUGUCCUAAGGGACGAUAAUGACGGUACCUUAGGAGGAAGCCCCGGCUAACUACGUGCCAGCAGCCGCGGUAAUACGUAGGGGGCGAGCGUUGUCCGGAUUUAUUGGGCGUAAAGGGUGCGUAGGCGGCCUUGUAAGUCAGAUGUGAAAUCUCACGGCUUAACCGUGGUAAGCAUUUGAAACUGUGAGGCUUGAGUACAGGAGAGGAGAGUGGAAUUCCUAGUGUAGCGGUGAAAUGCGUAGAUAUUAGGAGGAAUACCAGUGGCGAAGGCGACUCUCUGGACUGUAACUGACGCUGAGGCACGAAAGCGUGGGGAGCAAACAGGAUUAGAUACCCUGGUAGUCCACGCCGUA
rnacentral:rRNA from 1 species